rnacentral:lncRNA from 1 species
AGGAACAGCCGGGACAGAUGGUCCCUCUGCGGGCCCCUCGCCUCCACCCACAUGCCUGUCUGGAAAGUGGCUUUGGCUUAGCUGUACCAGAGCUUCUUCCUGGAGGAAACUCAAAGCCAAUUAGUAUCUGCGGGGACUGUGUCCAGGGGCAGAGGGCCCACCCAGGGUACCUCGUGGAGAAGGGAGAGAAGGGAGACCAGGGCAUCCCUGGUGUGCCAGGCCUCGACAACUGCGCCCAGUGCUUUUUGUCACUGGAGCGCCCAAGAGCCGAGGAGGCCCGGGGUGACAACAGUGAGGGAGAUCCUGGCUGUGUUGGGAGCCCAGGCCUACCUGGUCCUCCGGGAUUGCCAGGCCAGAGAGGAGAAGAGGGUCCGCCUGGCAUGAGGGGCUCCCCGGGUCCUCCAGGCCCUAUCGGCCUUCAAGGAGAGCGAGGUCUCACGGGCCUGACUGGAGACAAGGGGGAGCCGGGUCCUCCAGGGCAACCAGGUUACCCAGGUGCCACGGGCCCCCCAGGACUGCCUGGCAUCAAGGGGGAGCGUGGCUACACCGGGUCAGCGGGAGAGAAAGGAGAGCCGGGCCCCCCAGGAUCUGAAGGCCUCCCAGGCCCCCCAGGCCCAGCG